rnacentral:rRNA from 1 species
GGCUCAGGACGAACGCUGGCGGCGUGCUUAACACAUGCAAGUCGAACGGAGUUACGUUUUCGGAUGUAACUUAGUGGCGGACGGGUGAGUAACGCGUGAGGAACCUGCCUUUCAGAGGGGGACAACAGUUGGAAACGACUGCUAAUACCGCAUAACGCGUAGAGAUCGCAUGGUCUUUACGCCAAAGAUUUAUCGCUGAGAGAUGGCCUCGCGUCUGAUUAGCUAGUUGGUGAGGUAACGGCCCACCAAGGCGACGAUCAGUAGCCGGUCUGAGAGGAUGAACGGCCACAUUGGGACUGAGAUACGGCCCAGACUCCUACGGGAGGCAGCAGUGGGGAAUAUUGGGCAAUGGGGGAAACCCUGACCCAGCAACGCCGCGUGAAGGAAGAAGGCCCUCGGGUUGUAAACUUCUUUUACCAGGGACGAAGAACGUGACGGUACCUGGAGAAAAAGCAACGGCUAACUACGUG